ensembl:lncRNA
GGGGUUUCCUGAAGGUUCGACAGCUUCCUCUCGAAAGCACGCCAGAAGGUGGAUCAAUCACGCUGAUUGAUCGUAUUUACAAAUUGAGCAGAGUGGAAGUACCUCAUUAUCUGAAUAAACAAACAAAUCCCAGCUUUCUCGUACAGUUCUCAAACAUCGAAAGGCGGUGGAAUGAUCCGGAACGACCGGGGGGGGGUGAAGCGCAUCAUCAUGUAGAAGCAAAUAGAAACAGCGGUGACGCCGUUUUGUACCGGAACCCGGAAGUUAUCAUCACACCGGUUCCCUCGACAGAAACCCAAUAGGAUUUUCAAAUCAUCUUCACAACUUGUAUGAAGUUUGAAGCCUAAAUCCAAUCUCCAGAACAUCUAAACCGUACGCUAUAAACGAGCUACACCACGGUCGCUCGACUUCAACGUCUCCAUCACCGAGCUUCCGAGAACUUUCCCAAACUUUAUUUAAAACAUUUUCCAUAAUACGGAUUUACUCUGUGGAUGAAUCUUCCCCCGUGUGUUUUUGGGGAAUUGUGCACAGCAGACCUGAACCAGUUUAUCUGCGAAGUGUUUUCCUGCUCGGCGUGAUGACGUUUAAUGUCCCCGAUAGCCUCUGCGGUCCCGUUUAGCAACAUGUCAGUGUCACGAUUUCCCCUCGCGCACGCGCUGGAGCACAAGCAAAGCAAACCUCGUUUCCGGGUUUUAGCGUUACAGAAUGACGUCAUCCCUGCGCCGCUCUAUGGUGACUGGCUGUACGUUUAAGUAGCGCUUGAUUUGAUGUGCAGCGGAGUUUUCUAUGAGCAGAGGAUGAACUUUAAACGUCAAUAUCGCAGUCGAUCAUUUCCACGUAAUCCUGGCAGUCAAAACCCCUAGUGAGGAUGCAUGUUAAGGAAACGAAUAGGUGCGCGGUGGUGUAGCACGUCACAGCUCCGGUGUCGCCGGUUCAAUCCUGAGCUCGGAAUAGUGUGUGUGUGUGUGUGUGUGUUUCCCCCACUUACGUCCAUGUGGGUUUGCUCUGGGUUCCUCUGUUCUCCCAAAAACACGCCAGGAAAGUGAAUUAGCUAAGAAUAAUGGCCUGUACGUGUUCGUGCGGUAGGCUCUGGAGCCGCCACACCCCAGGUCUUGACUGACUGAGUGAGUGACUGAGUGAGUGACUGGUGGAGUGACUGAGUGGAGUGACUGAGUGAGUUGAGUGAGUGACUGAGUGAGUCGAUCGAGUGAGUGACUGAGUGAGUCGAGUGAGUGACUGAGUGAGUCGAGUGAGUGACUGAGUGAGUCAGUGAGUGACUGAGUGAGUCACUGAGUCAGUGAGUGAACGCGGACUUCAGGUGUUUUGUAAGUACGUUAAUCUCUUGGCUUAGAAACAAAUGUCGGACACCAGGCUCGUCUUAUUUACUCCAUUUGUUCCUCCACAUAUACUGAGGGUGAUUGUCUUUUGCAGACCCCUGUGCGAAUAGUGAUCGGACUGCCACUAUUCCUGUAUUUGUACUGUUCAUUUUCUACACGAUCAGUCAAGAAGCAGGGCGGUGUCUUUUUAUUUUAUGUUUUUUUUUUUAGUCCUUUCAGAGUAGAAUUAAUCGUUUGUAAACCCGUUCGCCUUCCCCCUGAGCAAGUCAAGUCCGAACCUGAGCGCUGUCGGUGAGCGAG